ensembl:snRNA U2 U2 spliceosomal RNA
AUCGCUUCUCGGCCUUUUGGCUAAGAUCAAGUGCAGUGUCAUUGGAAUAGCAGAACUUUUUCCAGCCUAUCUUUUUAUUUAUGUAAACAGUAUUUCAUAACUCUUGCAUUUAUAAAAUUGAAAUGCAGGGGAAAAAAGGGAUAUAUAAAUCUUUUGCUAACAUCUCAAUUUUA